AAGGAUUUAAGUUAAAAAUAAACUAAAAGCCUUCAAAGCUUGAAAUAAAGGUAAUCUUUAAGCCUUA
rnacentral:tRNA from 1 species